GACGAACGCGGCGGCGUGCUUAACACAUGCAAGUCGAACGAAGAGCGAUGGAAGCUUGCUUCUAUCAAUCUUAGUGGCGAACGGGUGAGUAACGCGUAAUCAACCUGCCCUUCAGAGGGGGACAACAGUUGGAAACGACUGCUAAUACCGCAUACGAUUUAAUCUCGGCAUCGAGGAUAGAUGAAAGGUGGCCUCUACAUGUAAGCUAUCACUGAAGGAGGGGAUUGCGUCUGAUUAGCUAGUUGGAGGGGUAACGGCCCACCAAGGCGAUGAUCAGUAGCCGGUCUGAGAGGAUGAACGGCCACAUUGGGACUGAGACACGGCCCAGACUCCUACGGGAGGCAGCAGUGGGGAAUCUUCCGCAAUGGACGAAAGUCUGACGGAGCAACGCCGCGUGAGUGAUGACGGCCUUCGGGUUGUAAAGCUCUGUUAAUCGGGACGAAAGGCCUUCUUGCGAAUAGUGAGAAGGAUUGACGGUACCGGAAU
rnacentral:rRNA from 1 species